rnacentral:lncRNA from 1 species
CCUGAAUACUCUUAACUCUCCUUGACUUGGCAUCUACGUGUUGGUAGUAUGCCGAACGUGGUUCCAGGUUAUCCAGUUGUGCCCAGAAUCCAUCUCCUUUAUGUGUUAACACAAAAGAAACUGUGAAGCAUGAGUUCAGGGGCAUUUUGAUACCCAAACGCUUAAUAGAGGCUAAUGGCCUUUAUUUUUCAUCCCAUCUUCUUCCAUUUCUAUUUCCAAAACAACCAAGCUUUCACCAUCAUCAUCCAAUUUCAUUUAUCAAAACUACAUAAAGAAAACAUAAUUAAAACAUUUAUAAUAGU